rnacentral:misc_RNA from 1 species
AAGACUAUAGACCUGCGGAGUACCUGCGGAAGGAUCAUUACCGAGUUUUCAACUCCCUAACCCUUCUGUGAACCUACCUAUCGUUGCUUCGGCGGACUCGCCCCAGCCCGGACGCGGACUGGACCAGCGGCCCGCCGGGGACCUCAAACUCUUGUAUUCCAGCAUCUUCUGAAUACGCCGCAAGGCAAAACAAAUGAAUCAAAACUUUCAACAAUGGAUCUCUAGAUCGGAAGAGCACAC